rnacentral:rRNA from 1 species
GACGAACGCUGGCGGCGUGCUUAACACAUGCAAGUCGAACGGUGAAGCGCCUUCCUUUUUGGUGGGUGUGGAUGAGUGGCGAACGGGUGAGUAACACGUGAGUAACCUGCCCCCUUCUUCUGGAUAACCGCAUGAAAGUGUGGCUAAUACGGGAUAUUCUGGGUCUGUCGCAUGAUGGGUCUGGGAAAGAUAUUGUUUCGGUGGGGGAUGGGCUCGCGGCCUAUCAGCUUGUUGGUGGGGUGAUGGCCUACCAAGGCGGUGACGGGUAGCCGGCCUGAGAGGGCGGACGGUCACACUGGGACUGAGACACGGCCCAGACUCCUACGGGAGGCAGCAGUGGGGAAUAUUGCACAAUGGGCGCAAGCCUGAUGCAGCGACGCCGCGUGAGGGAUGGAGGCCUUCGGGUUGUGAACAUCUUUCGCCAGUGAAGCAGGCCUGCCUCGUUUGUGGGUGGGUUGACGGUAGCUGGAUAAGAAGCGCCGGCUAACUACGUG